UACGUAGGGGGCAAGCGUUGUCCGGAAUCAUUGGGCGUAAAGCGCGCGUAGGCGGCUUUGUAAGUUAGAGGUGAAAGCCCGGGGCUCAACCCCGGAACUGCCUUUAAAACUGCAUCGCUUGAAUCCAGGAGAGGUGAGUGGAAUUCCGAGUGUAGAGGUGAAAUUCGUAGAUAUUCGGAAGAACACCAGUGGCGAAGGCGGCUCACUGGACUGGUAUUGACGCUGAGGUGCGAAAGCGUGGGGAGCAAACAGG
rnacentral:rRNA from 1 species